rnacentral:rRNA from 1 species
GAUGAACGCUGGCGGCGUGCCUAAUACAUGCAAGUCGAGCGAACGGACGAGAAGCUUGCUUCUCUGAUGUUAGCGGCGGACGGGUGAGUAACACGUGGAUAACCUACCUAUAAGACUGGGAUAACUUCGGGAAACCGGAGCUAAUACCGGAUAAUAUUUUGAACCGCAUGGUUCAAAAGUGAAAGACGGUCUUGCUGUCACUUAUAGAUGGAUCCGCGCUGCAUUAGCUAGUUGGUAAGGUAACGGCUUACCAAGGCAACGAUGCAUAGCCGACCUGAGAGGGUGAUCGGCCACACUGGAACUGAGACACGGUCCAGACUCCUACGGGAGGCAGCAGUAGGGAAUCUUCCGCAAUGGGCGAAAGCCUGACGGAGCAACGCCGCGUGAGUGAUGAAGGUCUUCGGAUCGUAAAACUCUGUUAUUAGGGAAGAACAUAUGUGUAAGUAACUGUGCACAUCUUGACGGUACCUAAUCAGAAAGCCACGGCUAACUACGUGCCAGCAGCCGCGGUAAUACGUANGUGGCAAGCGUUAUCCGGAAUUAUUGGCGUAAAGCGCGCGUAGGCGGUUUUUUAGUCUGAUGUGAAAGCCCACGGCUCAACCGUGGAGGGUCAUUGGAAACUGGAAAACUCGAGUGCAGAAGAGGAAAGUGGAAUUCCAUGUGUAGCGGUGAAAUGCGCAGAGAUAUGGAGGAACACCAGUGGCGAAGGCGACUUUCUGGUCUGUAACUGACGCUGAUGUGCGAAAGCGUGGGGAUCAAACAGGAUUAGAUACCCUGGUAGUCCACGCCGUAAACGAUGAGUGCUAAGUGUUAGGGGGUUUCCGCCCCUUAGUGCUGCAGCUAACGCAUUAAGCACUCCGCCUGGGGAGUACGACCGCAAGGUUGAAACUCAAAGGAAUUGACGGGGACCCGCACAAGCGGUGGAGCAUGUGGUUUAAUUCGAAGCAACGCGAAGAACCUUACCAAAUCUUGACAUCCUUUGACAACUCUAGAGAUAGAGCCUUCCCCUUCGGGGGACAAAGUGACAGGUGGUGCAUGGUUGUCGUCAGCUCGUGUCGUGAGAUGUUGGGUUAAGUCCCGCAACGAGCGCAACCCUUAAGCUUAGUUGCCAUCAUUAAGUUGGGCACUCUAAGUUGACUGCCGGUGACAAACCGGAGGAAGGUGGGGAUGACGUCAAAUCAUCAUGCCCCUUAUGAUUUGGGCUACACACGUGCUACAAUGAACAAUACAAAGGGCAGCGAAACCGCGAGGUCAAGCAAAUCCCAUAAAGUUGUUCUCAGUUCGGAUUGUAGUCUGCAACUCGACUACAUGAAGCUGGAAUCGCUAGUAAUCGUAGAUCAGCAUGCUACGGUGAAUACGUUCCCGGGUCU